GUUCUGGGCAGGCUCGGCGAUGCCGGAGGCUCUUUCUCCUGUCCUGCUCCAACCUAAGCUUUCAGCAAGGCCCCGUGUAACGUCAACAAGGAAAAGCUAUAAAAGUUGGCAUGAGAAUCCCAUUCUUCUUUCCUCUCAGAAAUUUUCUAUAUUACACAAAAAUAAAGGGGCACAGGAGUUCCCGUUGUAGCACCGCAGAAACGAAUCCGACUGGUGUCCAUGAGGAUACAGGUUUGAUCCCCGGCCUCAUUCUGUGGGUCUGGGUCCAGCGUUGCCAGGAGCCGUGGUUUAGGUCAAAGACGCGGCUUGGAUCUGGCAUGGCUGUGGCAUAGGACAGGAGCUGUAGCUCUGAUUCGACCCCUAGCCUGGGAACCUCCAUAUGCUACAGGGGCAGACCUAAAAAAAAAAAAAAAAAAUCCAAAAGAUCUGGCCAUUCAUUUUAUGUUUAUUCUUCUACUGUCCUGAAUUACUUACUCUUCCUGACAAUGUCUUAUCUCCCACAGUCAGAAGCUUCUGUUCUUCUGUAGCCCACACAGCCUGUGUGCUCUAUGCUUUACAAACUGCAUGAAGGUGCUCUGCUGAAUAGGUUUUCAUGACAUCUGUUUCUAUAAUAGCUCAUACGAUUGCUCCACAAGGGUCACUUGAUAGCAUGUUUUUUGAGUGAGUGUGUGUGUGUGUUUUUCACAAUUCUAUCACUAGGACUUACCCCCAGAGUCAUCCAUACAAGCCAAAUGCUUGCCUCUCUGACAUUUACUGAGUGAAGGGACAUAGGCAAAAAUCGGAUUUGGGUCGAUUUCCUUGCAUCACUAUAGACAGAUGACUGAGUCUCCUUGAACGGACCUCCUUGGCCUUCUUGACUAUGAACAUUUGGAGGAUGUACUCAGAAGGUAGUCUUUCUCAAACCACAGAGAGAAAAACAAUCUCUUAUGAAAUCAGUCUAAAAACUCAUUCCAUUCAUUCCUAAUGCUGACAUGGCACUGAUGAAAGAUACAUCUUAAAGUAACCUCGAAGUCUUAAACAACUCACAGGAAUGUGGUGACAAGAACACUUGAAUUUAAAAAUGUAAAGAGCUUACUGACCUAAAUGUCACUUUACCAAAAUUGCUGAGAAUGAGGGGGGAAAAAAAAUGGUAUCUCGAAGAGACAGCUAAAAUAGACUAGAAAGGCAGCAAAGUCUUUGCACUAAACUCACAGAAAAUGAAAAGUUAGCAGUGAAGAAAAAUAAAAGUGCUUGAAGAGAAUUGCUAGAUAACAAGCAUAUUGGCCACAGUUGGAAAUUUUGAUUAACUGCAAUUAUGUUGGCAGACAGGCACGAUUUAAUUUUCCUAAAGUGAUAGAAUUUAGGAGCACAGCAUCUCUAUCUUCAGAAUGGAGCCUUUUCCUAUGGGAUCACAGGAGUCAAUGAAGAGUCAGGUCACUGAUGUGAUAAAGAACUAGGACCAUAUGUUGAUAUGUCUCUCAAUUUCCCCCAAACCUCCAUAACCAGGUGCUAUGACUGAACUGUGUCCUCCACCAAACAUAUAUAUUUCUCUCUAAUUAAAAACAUUUUGGUUGAUCCUUUGAAGAUCAAACCUUGGCCAUCACUUAAAUCAUUUGUUGUGGUGUUUCUAGUUUGGAACUCUUAGUCUUGCUAAGAAAAUUCUUACACAUCUUGUCCUUUGGUGGUAUCUGUGUUGUUACACAUCCAGGGGAGAAAUUGCUGGGUCACAUGGAAUGCUUAUGGUCAGCUUUAGUAGUUACUAUCAAAGAGUUUUCCAAAGUGGCUUUACUAAUUCAUUUGCCCAAAGCAGUACAGCCAAGCCCUUAGCAUCCAUGGGGGAUUGGUACCACAACACCCAGGGAUACCAAAAGCCAUGUAUAUUCAAGACCCUUAAAAAUAAAGUCAUGUAGCACAGUCAGCCCCCACAGUUAUGCCCCAGAGGAUUCAACUAACCUCAGAUCAGAUCCACAAUUAGUGAUUAGUUGAAUCUGCAGAAGGGGAACUUGUGCAUCAGAGGGCCCAUGGUAUCUGCUUCCCACUGAGUGCUCUACAUCAUAGCCAAUAGUGGGUAUUGAGAGUCCUUUUUUUAAAAAAAAAAAUUGCAUUCUGGUG